UUUGGGGACACCGUUAACACAGCCAGCCGGAUGGAAUCGACUGGAACCGCUGGUAAAGUCCACGUUAGCCCGACGACAUACGGCCUGGCUGCCCAUAAUCCCGCUCUGAAUUUUAUCAGUCGUGGGGCAAUCAAUGUGAAAGGCAAGGGCUCUGUGAAUACGUACUGGCUGGAGGCAGUCUUCGAGAACCAGGAGAAAGUUUAAAGAACGAUCAAACUGCGCAGUGGACUUUUCAUCCACGCCAUCUUAAACACAUUUCCAUACUACGCAAUGACCGGCGAAUUUCCAUACUAUGCUAGUGUAAUUGUAAAGAACGAAUGAGAAUCUCUGAGCCUGUUUCGGAUUGGUGCGAGUCACGGAACUCAGCGGAAGG